rnacentral:misc_RNA from 1 species
GAUGAAGAACGCAGCGAAAUGCGAUAAGUAAUGUGAAUUGCAGAAUUCAGUGAAUCAUCGAAUCUUUGAACGCACAUUGCGCCCGCCAGUAUUCUGGCGGGCAUUCCUGUCCGAGCGUCAUUUCAACCCUCGAACCCCUCCGGGGGGUCGGCGUUGGGGACCUCGGGAGCCCCUAAGACGGGAUCCCGGCCCCGAAAUACAGUGGCGGUCUCGCCGCAGCCUCUCCUGCGCAGUAGUUUGCACAACUCGCACCGGGAGCGCGGCGCGUCCACGUCCGUAAAACACCCAACUUCUGAAAUGUUGACCUCGGAUCAGGUAGGAAUACCCGCUGAACUUAAGCAUAUCAAUAAGCGGAGGA